GAUGAACGCUGGCGGCGUGCUUAACACAUGCAAGUCGAACGGGAAAUAUUUCAUUGAGACUUCGGUGGAUUUGAUUUAUUUCUAGUGGCGGACGGGUGAGUAACGCGUGGGUAACCUGCCUUAUACAGGGGGAUAACAGUCAGAAAUGGCUGCUAAUACCGCAUAAGCGCACAGAGCUGCAUGGCUCAGUGUGAAAAACUCCGGUGGUAUAAGAUGGACCCGCGUUGGAUUAGCUAGUUGGUGGGGUAACGGCCCACCAAGGCGACGAUCCAUAGCCGGCCUGAGAGGGUGAACGGCCACAUUGGGACUGAGACACGGCCCAGACUCCUACGGGAGGCAGCAGUGGGGAAUAUUGCACAAUGGGGGAAACCCUGAUGCAGCGACGCCGCGUGAAGGAAGAAGUAUCUCGGUAUGUAAACUUCUAUCAGCAGGGAAGAUAGUGACGGUACCUGACGAAGAAGCCCCGGCUAACUACGUG
rnacentral:rRNA from 1 species